UCAUUUUAGUGUAUCAUCUAACCAAUUAGAAUGUAGUAAACAGUUAUUAUUUGGAACACGAUGUAUUCUACUGAUAGUACCGCAAAGCAGUUAAAAUUAAUAUUAAACAUUCAACAUUGAUUGGAUGUGUUGAUCCCCACACCUUAUUUCCUGCUUAUACCUUUCAUGACAUAGACACACAUUUGGUAGUGGAAUUGGUUCUUCGAUUUUUGGUCAACAUAGUGCCUUAUAUGAGGACAGUCAUACUUUGGUGAUAUUGGAUGUUGCUCUGUCAAGGCCCGCUAAUAUGACAUCGUUCGAGUAUGUCAAGAAUCAUACGAAGGUUGUGAAAGAUUAAUAGGGGAUUCGUUACUCUUAGAUAGUAAGAGAUUAUGAUCUACAUUUCAUUCAGUUAAGUUAAUAAUGAAAUCCUUGACCAAGAUGUACUUAAAAGUCGAAAAGGAGUUUUCAACUUAUAUUAACUUAAUUGUGGAAUGAAAGAUAUGAUCGAUAAUUAAGAUUCACACAUAUCUAUAUCUCGUAAUUGAUCGGAUCAUAUUAACAAAAUGAUUACAGUUUUACGGCAAACGAAUAAGUUCGAUUUUGUCAUACCACGCGAUAUUUUUUGUCACAUGUAUUGCCUUGAUACAUUGUUAGAUGUCAAUUUGGGAGGAUGAAUGUGAAUUUGUGAUAAAUUAGAAAGGAUAUUUUAAUUUAUCAAUUUUGAUUAGAUCAAAAUAAAAAUUCACAUUGUUAGGUAUCGUGAUUGGGAGCCUAAUGGGUUACACACGAAAGGAGAACCAAAAGAAUGAGAUUUACCAAUUAAUUAAUUGAUAAGUGUUGAAUAAUUAAUUAAUUUGGUUGCUUGUUAAUAGGUUCGAAUAAUUUAAUAUGAUUAAUUAAUUCAUGGACCAUGCUUAAUAAAUUGAAUUAAGUAAAUGUUGGACGGGAUGAAGUUAAGAAUGGGCCAAGUCCACAUGGAUUUGUAUUAAUAGGUUGUUAGGGUUUGAAAAAUCUGGAGAGAAAAUAAUUAUUCUUGCUAGUACAUGAAAAAGAAAACUUUAGUUCUCUCAAUUUUGUUUCCUGUGUAGAUUUCCAUUGGAGACUGGACAAUUGGACAGAUGUGGA
rnacentral:lncRNA from 1 species